CAGCUAAGAGGGUGCGAGAUUGAAAAAGCCCGCGGCGUCUUCUACACGCCACUUCGCUGGGCUCCUGUCUCUGUCGCUGAGAGGCACUCUGGAGAGUCUGCGGCAGCCUCUGUCACACAGGGACCUGCACUGGUCGUGGGAGCCGCAGAGAGGCCCCCGGGACACGGAGGAAUUCGGAAAAUGGUAACAUCAAAGGAGAAUGAAAGAUGGAUAAAGAUUGUACACGUUCUUCUAAAGAACCGCUUGUCAGCCAGGCGCAGGGGCUCACACCUGCAAUCCCAGCACUUCAGGAGGCCGAGGUGGGCAGAUCACAAAGCCAG
rnacentral:lncRNA from 1 species